CUACGGGCGGCUGCAGUGGGGAAUAUUGGACAAUGGGCGCAAGCCUGAUCCAGCAAUGCCGCGUGAGUGAAGACGGCCUUAGGGUUGUAAAACUCUUUCGCUAGGGAAGAUAAUGACUGUACCUAGUAAAGAAGUCCCGGCUAACUCCGUGCCAGCAGCCGCGGUAAUAGGGAGGGGACUAGCGUUGUUCGGAAUUACUGGGCGUAAAGAGUUCGUAGGCGGACUGACAAGUUAGAGGUGAAAUCCCAGGGCUCAACCCUGGAACUGCCUUUAAAACUGUCAGUCUAGAGACCGGAAGAGGUUAGGGGAAUACCUAGUGUAGAGGUGAAAUUCGUAGAUAUUAGGUGGAACACCAGUGGCGAAGGCGCCUAACUGGUCCGGUACUGACGCUGAGGAACGGAAGCGUGGGGAGCAAACAGGAUUAGAUACCCCUGUAGUC
rnacentral:rRNA from 1 species